ACAUGACAUGUUGCUCAGUAGAUUUCCUUUAAAAGGUGUUCUCUCUCUCGGAGGUAAUGACAGAUGUGAGUGUUGCUAUGGUGACAGGUUGUCUGUUUAGACACUCACGGCACAGUGGUUCGGAUGGCUUGCCUACAAUUUACGGUCAUGGGAAGUAAGCAAGCCCCUCCCAGCAAGUUUUAGCGAGGGGUCUUCUUCCUUCCGGGCUGGUUUUCAAAAUGGGGUUGACUUUGUGCCUUGGGUGACUGGGCAAGAUGGGAAACCACUGCAUAUAUUCGGAAGGGCAGAAUCUAUGCACCGCCCACGGUUGAAAGGUCAAGGUCUCUUCAAGAACUGAAGGAGAUUUCAAAAAAAUUCCACGAGGAGCUUAGAGCAUCGAAGAAUUGCGUGGUCUGGGAUCCUCCGAGAACAUUUCACUCAAUACAUGGAGUUUGUGAGGUGAACACCGUGAUGAUGUCAUCUGCUGAUGUCUCUAAGUCUGCCUGCCCCUCUCAGAGGAUUGUGGGAGCCAGCCCACCCCUCACCAUUUUACAGGGCCAAGAAACCAGCUGUUAAGUGAUUUGGCCACGGUCCCCAGCACUUUGGAGGCCCUGGAAUUCGGUCUCCUGAGCCCAGCAGGGUGCCCGGCCUGUCACAUCUGACCUGACUCUUUUUGGCACAGCCUUCAUCUGCUCGCUACGGAAGGUCGCCCAUGGCAGUCGACAGGUGCUUAGGGUACCUGUGUGAAACCCUCACAACAAGCUAGCAAGCAAAUGUGGGUUUACCUAAUGACUUUCUCCAGAAUCUUCCCACUCCCUCAUCCCUCAAUCUCAGCAGCGGGAUGUGCAAAGGAGAGAGGAAUGGCUUUGAGGUGUGCACUGCGCCCGUCAUUUUGUGACUUGUGACAAAUCUCCUUAGUUAGGUUGUCUAUUAAGGGAGACAGUCGUUUCAGCUUUAACUUUCUUGUGAUUACGUGAGAUGAUGAAGACGCAGCUCCUGGCACACCGUGAGCUCUCCACGAGUGGGCCUUCCACCCCCUCCCUCCGUCCCUGUCCUGCCUACGCCCUCCCCUCGCCUCUGCACCGCCUUCCUCUUCUUCCUUUGAGCAUUUAGCCCAUAAAUGUGUCCUCUACUUCUGAUUCAGUUACAUUCAUUUCCUUAGUUCCUGACUUUGAAAACAGCAGUGGGCAAUGUUGACAAAGACGUCUUGUGACAGAAAUUCAGAUUGGGUCGAGGGUCACUGCAAGUUGGGGGUCACCGAAGCUCCUCAUGAGGGAGCCCUGGGGUGGGAUAAGGACAGGGAGGAGCAUGCCUGACAGGUCUCACAGCUGGAGAGCGAGGGCCGCUGGCUGCCCCAAGCCUUGCCUGUCUACAGGACCCCUCUUUCCUUGUGCGGGGUAUGUUUUGGCUCCGGUGUUGUUACCUGUUUUGCAGGUACCUCCUGUUUGAGUCACCUGUGCUGACUCCACAGCUCUUUGCAGAAGCCUCUCUGGGAGUCUGAGGUCGAACCAGUCGGCAGCCUCCCCUCGUCCCUGCUGCCCUUUCCUGAGACGCCUGUCCCGGGCACUGUACCCUGUGGGGCAGGGCCUGCCCCUGCUCCACAGUGGGUCCUCACCCAGGGGGAGAGUCCCUCACCCUGCGCGAGAGGCCCUCACUGCUGGCCUGGGCCGGGCUGGCUGGGCACCCCUCCUCUGGAUGUGGAGCCCAUGCCCACUGCUGUGGGAGCUUUCCCCUAAAGGCAGUGUCAUCCCUGCUCCUGCUCGGGCUACUGGAUGGGAACCCGUGGGUACCACUUAGAUCACUCCCAUCACAUGUGGCCACAUCAGAAGGUGAUGACAUGGGUCACCUUGGGCAGCUAUAGAGGAAGCACAAUGUUCUGGGGGGCCCCCUCUGUCCCCCCCCCGCCACCCCCCACCGGCCCUGUCUUCUCCCAGUCCCAUUAGUCUUCCAGAGGGAAGGGCUCAGACGUCAGGGCUCAGUGUCGGGGCCUCCUCUCUCCUCACAGGUCACCCCCACUGACAGGAGGAGGAGAGAGCCAGGAGGGGCUGCCUGUUGUUUAACUUCUCUAGAUUCUGGACUGGCCAUCACCCAGGACAGGAACCACGUGCUGCCAGCCAGUCCGGAGGCUUUCUCACAAAGCGCAAGGCAGGGAUGGGCGUGGCGAACCCAUGGCGAUAGCUGCUGCCUCUGGUGAGAGCGCCAUUGUCGGCGCUUACUUGGUCCUCACACUAGCCACCGAGUGGAUGCCAUUAUUAUCGACUCAUUCCACUGCUGAGGCACAAAAUAACUAAUUAACCUGUCCUAGUCACGUGGCUAACAAGUAAGAGAGCCAGGAUUCCAACUCUAGCACCCUGGCUCCAGUCUAUGGCCUUACCCCUUACCGUUCUGCCGUACCUCCAACAGAGGAAAAUAACGAGGACCAAAGAAGUAUUAUAUUGACUUUUUAGAAUGUCAUGAAAAAUGAAGAGGCACUAAAUGACCCAAAUGGUUUCACUAAUUUUUGAUUUCAUGAAAGAUCAUAACAAUUCUUCUAAAAUCACCAUUGAUUCAUUUGACACAUUAACACAAAUGUUUGUGAACACCACGAAAAGACUGCUAUUUCUUCGUCUAAGUGGAAUUACUUCUGAGGUGUGGAGUAGGCUCUGUUCACGUGGCCAGACCCUGCAGGCCGUUGACAGGGGCUGGGUUUCUCAUCUAGGCUUUUCCAUGCAGCCUGAUGUUUCUAGAAGAAUGACUGACUGACAAACCAGGUUAUUCAGACCUGGGUAUUUGGCAGACAUUUUCUUGAAAAUGAACAAAGUGAGCCUGUUACUUCAAGAAAAAUAACUGACAGUAUUUGUUGCCCAUCAUAAAACUGAAGAUUUCAAGCAAAAAUUAGAAUUUUAGAAAACUAGUAUGCACCACUGUGAGCUUGAUAGCUUUCUGAUACUCUCAGACUUUGCUGAUGAGAUUAAUGGCCAUAUUAAUGCUAUGAUUUCUGGAUAUUGUAUAAUGAAAUAUAUCAACAUAUCAUAGAUCUGCGUGACUCAAUGAAUCAAUAUUUUCCAAAUGGCCAAUGCGUGAUGUCGCAAAUUCAUGAAUGGGUAAAAACAAAACAAAAAAACUAUUCAAAGGGCAUAAUAGCGAGUGGAUUUUAAUGUAGCAGUGUCUAAAAAAUGAAUCAAUAUGGUUUCAGAUUCCACAUUGCAACUAACCUGUAAGAAACUGCCACGUGUUGAGUUUUGGUGCAGUAUCAAGGGAUAAUAGCCACGAUGAUCUGAAAGGCCUGUUACAAAGUCAUCCUCUCUUUUCCAAACACAUAUUUGUUUGAGGCUGAAUUUUCUUCACGCGUCUCAACUAAAACAACAUAAUGCCAGAGACGGACUGCAGAAACAGGUGUGAGGAUCCAGCUGUCUUCUAUUAACUCAGACCUUCAGGAGCUUGGAAAAAGUAUGCACUCUUGCCAUUCUGCUCAUCGUUAUUUUCGUUUUGGAAAAUAUAGUUGUUUUUCUUAAAA